CCUACGGGAGGCAGCAGUGAGGAAUAUUGGUCAAUGGUCGGGAGACUGAACCAGCCAAGCCGCGUGAGGGAGGAAGGUACAGAGUAUCGUAAACCUCUUUUGUCUGGGAACAAAGUCUGGGACGCGUCCCCGGAUGAGUGUACCUGAUGAAUAAGCAUCGGCUAACUCCGUGCCAGCAGCCGCGGUAAUACGGAGGAUGCGAGCGUUAUCCGGAUUUAUUGGGUUUAAAGGGUGCGCAGGCGGGUUGUUAAGUCAGCGGUGAAAGUUCGGGGCUCAACCCUGGCACGGCAGUUGAAACUGGCAGUCUCGAGUUGGAUAGAAGUGUGCGGAAUGCGCGGUGUAGCGGUGAAAUGCAUAGAUAUCGCGCAGAACUCCGAUUGCGAAGGCAGCAGGCCGGCUCCACACUGACGCUGAGGCACGAAAGCGUGGGUAUCGAACAGGAUUAGAUACCCCUGUAGUC
rnacentral:rRNA from 1 species